ACGCCGCCAUCGAAAGGUCGGAGGCCGGCAGUUGGCGCUGCCACCGCCGGGCCUGCGGACCGAGGUAUGGAACGGAUGGAAGUGGACCAGUGCGCAGGCGCAGCUGGCGGGGCAGGAGGCGGGGCACUCCGUAGAUCGAACAGCGCCCCCAUGAUCACCAGUGUCAGUGACGGGAUGACGGUCUUCAGUCCCGUGUCCUCGGCUCGAUACAGACGCAGCAGCGUCUCCAUCAACCCCAGCUGCCCGUCACAGCUCGUUCCUCUCUCACCUUUCUCCCUGACCGGAGACAGACACGACCACAAGAGACAGGAGGAGAACAUGGAGAUGACGCUCAGAGGGAGUCUGCAGAGGCUGAGUUCUUCCAGUUUGAUCCCAGUUCCUCCAGUCAGUCAGUGGCACGACCACGCGUCAGUGUGGUUCCAGUCACAGGACAGCGGCGUCACGCCCAACUCCUCACCAAGUCCCACCAGGAGGUUCAGACCAGCCGUCAGUGCCACUGUGAGGUGGCCUGCACUCACUCCGCUCAAGAGAAAAGGAGGGGUGGAGUCAGACGGACCCCCGAAGAAGCUUUUUGUUGCCGGGGUGACAGAUCCCACCAACCGCAGCAGCUACACAGUCAGUGUCUCUCAGUCGGUGGCCGACUCUCCGCCUGCAGGUGGUGUCAGUCCUCAGUCCAGCCCUCUCUCCCUCUCUCCUCCCCCCGCCUUCACCCCCUUCACCUCCCACCAGCACCCCGGACACUAGACGCCACCCCCGCCCUCCUCCUCACCCAGAAACACGACCCUGUCACUGUGGGUGCCGACCGACCACCAGCAGCUCCAGAGACAUUAAAAGAAACCUGGAGGAACAUCGAUCCCCCAUCGGACCUCGUUUCUGUUCCAAUCACCUGCCAGCAUCACUGUAAGCCCCGCCUCCUCCUCCUGCGAGCUCAUUGGAUCGUCAGAAGAGUCACAGGAAAGAAAUCAUGAUUUCAAGGUUGCAUCAUCCCAACGUGAAACUCUUCUGCCGGGUUUCCUGUUUUUCGAUCCCUCGAGUUUAUUUAUUUUUUUGCAGCGAGUUUCCGCUGUUUCUAUUGGCUGGUUGGAUAUUUAACCAGCUGAACUUUCUAACAGUUCCAUCACUCUUCAGUUAAUUAAUCCUUCACAGAUCUCACCAUGUUGGACUGUGCUCGGGCAGAAGGACCGACGUCUGCUGUCACAUUCUUGGCCUCCUUCGAUCCCUGGAGUUAAAUGGUUUACAGAGGAUUCAUCAUCAGCAUCAUCGCACGGUCACAAAGAAGUUCUGUGACCUGACGACACGAGGCGAGAAUAAAACAUCUGUGGGAAUAAACGAGGAAACGCAUCUCAACUUGUCCCGGAGACCAGAACCUCAGUCCAGCUACGUGUCCGAUUCAUUGGAGAGAGAAGUAAAACACAAUUGUUGUGUAAGUUGUUCUGAUAAAAGCAUAAAGCACAUAAACAUGUGCAGCCGGGAGACGUCUCGUUCCGUCUCGUUUGGCUGCAGCUCUCUGAGAACAUGGAAUGGGUUCUGUCAAACCGGUUCUGCAGAUGUGGAAGGAGUCCAAGCCCAGAAUGGAUUAAAGCUCGUCUUGCUGCUUCUUGGAUGGACGACAUCUCGGUGCUGCUCGUCGAGGACGCAGCUCCGGUCCAAUCAGCUGUUAAUGAAGUUCCAGAUCUUGAUCUCUGAUUAAGGUUCUGAAGAAGUUCUAGUUAGGUCUUGAGUUGUAAUCAAGACGACAAAAUGUUCCCAGACUGUCGAUCAGAAUCUCUGAAGGAGUGGAGGACUUUCAGGAGCGUUUGUUUCCACCUUCAGUGAUCCAGACGACACUCACGUACGUAACGUACUGAUUUCUCCGUCAGCUGAUUAUUCAGAUCCAGUCUUGAGUUGUUGGAUCUGUGGAGGAACAUCUGGACUCUGCCAGCACCUCUAACAGUGAACCAGGGUUCUGCACUUCUUGUGCCUCGUAUCGUUUCUAUUAAACUUAACAGAAAAUAUAUUUAGAAUCUGCUCAAGAUGAUUUUUCAUCUUCAGUCGACACAGCAGAGGAUUCUCUGUCCAAACUCUAAAACCAUAUGAAGGGGAUAAAGCUUUCUGUGAGGCCAAAACUGCUAGUUGAGUAUUUUUUGUCAGUGUUUUUGAGCCCAAACCAGCGAAAACCUGACAAAGUUCAGCCGUGAACAAAGUUUCAGUCAUUGAAGCAGAAGAUUUUUGUGUUUUAACGAAAGGUUCUAGUCGUCUGUGGCGACUGAGUGACUGCAGCCUUCUGGUUCCACCAGGAGAAACUGACAGUCACAGUUUGUUAAACUGAUGGUUUCACUGUUGGAGGUUUUUGAGAGACUGGUUUUACAAACUGGCUCCCAGUCAGCAGCCGAGUGUUUGUUAAUAGUGUAUCUAUAUGUGAAUAUGGACAGUCUGAGCAGCUGAUAAGUGCUCAGUUUUCUCCAGGCUGCAGUGUUUGAUUGUACAUAUUGAAUCUGCAGGAAGCGAGCG
rnacentral:lncRNA from 1 species